rnacentral:rRNA from 1 species
CCAGACUCCUACGGGAGGCAGCAGUGGGGAAUAUUGGGCAAUGGGGGAAACCCUGACCCAGCGACGCCGCGUGAGGGAAGAAGGUUUUCGGAUUGUAAACCUCUGUCCUUGGUGACGAUAAUGACGGUAGCCAAGGAGGAAGCCACGGCUAACUACGUGCCAGCAGCCGCGGUAAUACGUAGGUGGCGAGCGUUAUCCGGAUUUACUGGGUGUAAAGGGCGAGUAGGCGGGAUUGCAAGUCAGAUGUGAAAACUAUGGGCUCAACCGAUAGAGUGCAUUUGAAACUGCAGUUCUUGAGUGAUGGAGAGGCAGGCGGAAUUCCCGGUGUAGCGGUGGAAUGCGUAGAUAUCGGGAGGAACACCAGUGGCGAAGGCGGCCUGCUGGACAUUAACUGACGCUGAGGCGCGAAAGCGUGGGGAGCAAACAGGAUUAGAUACCCGAGUAAU